GACGAACGCUGGCGGCGCGCCUAACACAUGCAAGUCGAACGAGCGAGAGAGAGCUUGCUUUCUCGAGCGAGUGGCGAACGGGUGAGUAACGCGUGAGGAACCUGCCUCAAAGAGGGGGACAACAGUUGGAAACGACUGCUAAUACCGCAUAAGCCCACGACCCGGCAUCGGGUUGAGGGAAAAGGAGCAAUCCGCUAAUAGAUGGGCUUGCGGCUGAUUAGCUAGUUGGUAAGGUAAUGGCUUACCAAGGCAACGAUCAGUAGCCGGGCUGAGAGGCUCUGCGGCCACAUUGGGACUGAGAUACGGCCCAG
rnacentral:rRNA from 1 species